GAUUACGACAGUACGAAAAUCGGACGAAUUAACCGUAAAAAUAAGAAAAAUGUUUAGUGAAUGUGGUCUCCAAAGGGUUGACUGCCUAUGUAGUGUUUCUGGCGUCCACUCAAUCGGAUCCUCUAACUUCGUGUUUCUAUUGCUCACACGAGGACAACUUGUAAUUUCUCAUCAAGUUCCAUCCAAGUGUACACCGGUCAAUUAAAGAGAGAACUUCCACUAGUUUCCCG